UACGGAGGGUGCGAGCGUUGUCCGGAAUCACUGGGCGUAAAGGGCGCGUAGGUGGCGCGGGCAGUCAACGGUGAAAGUUCGGGGCUCAACCCUGAAUCGGCCGUCGAUACUCCCGGGCUUGAGCACUGUAGAGGCAGAUGGAAUUCCGGGUGUAGCGGUGGAAUGCGUAGAGAUCCGGAAGAACACCGGUGGCGAAGGCGGUCUGCUGGGCAGUAGCUGACACUGAGAGACGAAAGCUAGGGAGCAAAUGGG
rnacentral:rRNA from 1 species